rnacentral:pre_miRNA from 1 species
UCUUAUGGAUGAGCAAAGAAAGCAGUUACUUGAGAUGGAAUCUACUCCUGGUGAUGAUGCUGUGAA